CCUACGGGGGGCAGCAGUGGGGGAUAUUGCACAAUGGGGGAAACCCUGAUGCAGCGACGCCGCGUGGGUGAAGAAGUAUUUCGGUAUGUAAAGCCCUAUCAGCAGGGAAGAAAGAAGACGGUACCUGACUAAGAAGCCCCGGCUAACUACGUGCCAGCAGCCGCGGUAAUACGUAGGGGGCGAGCGUUAUCCGGAUUCACUGGGUGUAAAGGGAGCGUAGACGGCCGUGCAAGCCAGGAGUGAAAGCCCGGGGCCCAACCCCGGGACUGCUCUUGGAACUGUGCGGCUGGAGUGCGGGAGGGGCAGGCGGAAGUCCUGGUGUAGCGGUGAAAUGCGUAGAUAUCAGGAGGAACACCGGCGGCGAAGGCGGCCUGCUGGACCGCGACUGACGUUGAGGCUCGAAAGCGUGGGGAGCGAACAGGAGUAGAUACCCCAGUAGUC
rnacentral:rRNA from 1 species